AGAUGCCCAGGUGCUGAGCAAAUGCUGCGGGCACGAAGAAAACCCGGAGCCCGGCUGCUCGAAGCAACCCGCCCCCUUCGCCACCUGAGCCCAAGCACUCCAGCACCGCUUGCUCUAACCAGCUGGGGUCAGCCGCUCUCAGAUUGCACCAUUUUCUUCUCUGCCCACCCGGGUGCGGUGACCAAGGAGCCCUCGGCCUCGUGUGGAGGAUCCCGUCCCGGCCUCAGUGUCCUGCGAUCCGGCUCCCCGCACUGGGGUGAAUGGGGCGGGGGGUAGAGGAAUGGGGGGGGGGAGCCUGGGUGCCUCGGCUUCACCUCCCUACCUCCUCGAGCUGCGGAGGCUUCCGGGCCUCUCAGGCUCAGGCGACGCCCGAGAGGAGCGAGAGCCCAAGCUGCGCCCCAGGGGCUCCAGAAAUCGCAUUGCCCGGGUGUGGGCGCCCGAGAAA
rnacentral:lncRNA from 1 species